AUAAAUCUUACCAUCUACCAAAGGUCCUAAGGAUAAAGCGACGCUGGCUAGGACACAAAACGACAGUACGUUUCAUCCAUUACAAAGCUAUACCCAGUCGAGUCACUGUAUAUGAAACUCCCGCCUCUGAGAUGGCGACUUCCACUUUAUCGACAAUCCAGUCCUCUCUUAAUCGCAAACGCCUUCGAUUACCACCUCCACCGCCACCGCCACCGCCACCGCCACCGCCAAUCUCAAUUUCAUUUCAAUUCCACAAAAUCGUAAAAACUUCAGCGGUUACUGUUCCUUUGAAGUUAGUAAUUUUCUGUCUCUUUUGUUUAAUAGUUAAUUGUUAUAAUUAUCAUCAUGUGUUAAUUGUAGGUUAAGGAUGUUAGCUAUAGACCUCCAGGAACUAAGCUUAAUCUUUUAAAUAAAGUUACCUUUUCACUUCCAGAGAAAACGUAAUUAAUUUUUUUUAAUCAAUCAAUCAAUUAACUGUUCUGAUUCUGUUUAUGCAUUUUUGUUGCUUUUAAUUUUUGAUCGUCUAGUAAUUUCUUAAUAAACGAAGUGAUAUUAUGGGUUGCCAUCAUCUUUAUAUUAAAAAAUAUAGGAAGGCAGGAAGAAAAUGCUAUGUGGUUUCUAUAUAUUGCUUUAGGUUUAUUAUAAAGAGUUGAACUUCGAUGAAGAAUGUUGUUUUGCUACAAGCUAGCUACUUUGUGGCUGACACUAUUGUUGCUGAACUUACAUUUUGGUGGCCCAGGCGAAAGCGUAUUUGAUUAAGGGAGGUCUUGCUUUGAAUCUGCAAAGAGCUGUAAAUUGGGUACUAUUUUUAAAAAGAAAAAGAAAAAAAAGGGGGAGAAAAUUAAGCAUGUUUUAUCUUUUUCUUUUUUCGGUCGUUUUUAUAUUACAUUUCAUUGCCGUACUUAUAAUUUAACUGAUAACUAUAGGUUGGAUUGAAUGGGAUCUCGUUGUGUAAAGAUCCUUACUCUCUAAGUGUUGAAUAUAAACGUCGGCUUGCCUUGGCUAUUCAACUGGUAAUAACCUUUAUGUUAGUCUACAAUUCUUGAGAUGCUCCAUUCUAAAGUUACAGAUUAGGUACUUGUAUAACCUUUAUACUUGUAGCAUGCUUCGAGUGAUGAGUGUUAUCGAUUUAAUAUUCAGUUUAAAGUCCCUGAUAUGCUGGUUUUGGAUGAGCCUCUUGUUGGCCUAGCUGUGAGUCAUACUCAGUACUUUUUAGUUCCUAGACCAUUCCUUGUCUUCCCUCUUGUUUAGACCCCCAGCUGAUGAUUACUAUGAUUUUUUUGAAGUUAAUCAAUAAUUAAGAACCCCUAAUCCCUGUAGUGCCGUGCAGUGUCCUCCAACUUUUUAAAUGCAUGAAUACUUUUAGAGAUAAAGAGUCAAGGGAGGCCCGCUCUGGGCUUGUUGCCUUGACAUCGGCUAAUUGAUGAUGAGUUAUGGAUUUGAAUGUUCUCUUAUUUCCUUUCUUAUCAUCAGUAAUACCAAACUAUACAUCAGGGGUUCCCCUCACCAUUCCUCUCCUUUUCAAUAAUUUGGACCUUUGGCCUCCCCCCUGAAAGCAAGACUGGUUAGGGUACUCCAACUGUUUUCAUUUAGAUCAUUUAACUUCAAAUUCGAUUCCAGCUCAUUUGCACUCAAAAUUCUAAAAUUCAAUGCUUAGCCUCAUGUUUAUCAGUUAUUAAAAACAUUUCUUGAUAUUUGAAGUGAUGAGUGUUUCACACUCGAGUAAGUCCAUGGUAAGCUUUCAGUACAUCCUCCUAGCUUCUCCAUUUGUUAAUUCUUUUCUGCUGCAGUGAGUUUGUUUUAAUUAUUAUUAAUGAUGCUUUGGAGAUCAGAUUGGAAGGCAAGGGCAGAUGUCAUAAAGCUUUUGAAGCGCUUGGAGAAAAAAUUGACCAUCCUUGUUGUCAGUCAUGAUCUCAAAGAAUUAGCUACUAUAGUUGAUCAUCCCUGGAGGAUGGAAAUGGGUGGAUUUCUGAUGGAAGAGCUCCUUUCAGUGUAACCUUAGAGUGGACUAUUGCCUACUUGCUAUGAGGUUUGACCUAGUGCUCGGCCUAAAGGAUGGUGGCAUUUCUAGCAGGACCAACGAAAACUAUUGUGAGUGGAAAUCAUUAUAAAUAUAUACUUGCCAUGGACCCCAAAGGGACUCUGAAUUAUUUAAGCUUUUUGGCUAGUCAUUGCUUCUGGUAAGAUACUUCUUAACUGAAAUAUACUCAUCUAGCAGACCAGUUCUACUGUGGUUGACAUACGAAAUAUCUUUUCCGGGAGUGAAAAGUUUAUGCCGGGCCAUUCAUGCUUAAUAUUGCGGUAGUUUUGCUUUUAUAUGCUUUUUAAAAAAAAAAAUUGUUUUUUUUUAUAAUUUUAAAGUGUUGAUGUAAAAAAUAAAAAAAAAAUUGAAAAAAAAUUAUUUUAAUAUAUUAUUUUAAAAAAAACAUUUUUAAAAAUAUUUAGUGCUACAAUUUUAAACACCCAUUAAAUCUUGAGAACCAGCUUUUUUCUAUUCAUUUAUGCUCUAUGGAGGCUACCAUUACCAUUGUUAUCGAUAUCAACGUUGUCAUUAUCGCUUGUUUAGGAGUGUGGUUGUGGUUAUUUUUUAAAGUAUUUUUUACUUAGAAAAGUAUGUUAAUAAUAUUUUUUUUAUUUUUUAAAAAUUAUUUUUGAAAUCAGUAUAUUUAAAUAAUUUGAAAAUAUUAGAAAUAUAUUAAUUUAAAAUAAAAAAAAAUUUAAUUUUUUUUUUAAAACGCAGUUCCAAACGUGCACUGUAUAUCCUUCUCUGCAACACUCACACCUCCUUUUGUAAAUUUAAGAUUCUAGCUAUACGGCAAUCCUACUGUGGUUCCCUUGAUGUGAUAUAUUUUUUCUGACUAAAAGUCAUGGAUGCGCAGUUUCUGUAAAAGGAGACCCAGGACAGGAGCAAGUUCUUACCUUCUUAUCUAAUGGCAUUCCAUUUUUGACUCUGACCUUCUCUUUCGACAAAUUGGGAGUUUUCUUUGCCGUUCCAUACCGGUUUGUCACUGUAGUUGAACUGGAACCGCCAGCAUGAUUCGGGCAUGAUUUCAAUACUUUCAGUGAUUGGCAUUUGGCUUCUCAAAUGCCUCGAUUGCACACCGUUAAAUGAGAAGAUGCCCAUCUAGUCAGGGUUGGUGGCGUCAAUUUGUUAGCGUGUCCCACAAUCAUAAAAGCGAGGAAGCUGUUGUAAGCUUGCUGACAAAUGCCACGCAACAGUCUUCAAUCCUGGAUGCCCUAAUUCCAUCAGUGGAUUUGACAGUGAAAGAUGUUGACGAGAGUGAAAAAAGUGUAAACAAAAUGCACUGUUUUUCUUACAAUAUGUCUAAAUUUUUCAUUUGUUUCUGUUGAUUAUAAUAGUUGCAAUUCUAACAUAAGAAGCCCGGCACGGUGACAAAUGCUAUAAAUUUAGAUCGAUGUUGUUCCUAAUGGAGCGUCACGAUCAAUAACGAUCAUGACACAUGAUAUGUCGGUGUUGUCUA